rnacentral:misc_RNA from 1 species
GGAAGUAAAAGUCAUAACAAGGUUUCCGUAGGUGAACCUGCGGAAGGAUCAUUAUCGAAAUACUUAUUUAGCGUUCCGUGCUAUCCCAUUGUUUUAUUUACCCUGUUGCUUCCACUGGAUGAGUUUCCAUACCUUGUGUUUGAGAAACUUUGGCUUGUGUAAGAUUCAUUCACGGCCAGCCAGUGAGAAGACCAUUUACAAAACCCUGUUAAGAACCAAUUGUCUGAAUAUUUUACUCCAAUGAAAUAAAACUUUCAACAACGGAUCUCUAGGCUCUU